CGCGCUCCAGCUCCUCGUAGCCGCCCUCGCUGAGGUUGUAGCGCGCCCGCAGCUCCAGCUGCCGCAGCUCCAGCCGCUGCCGCUCGAUCAUCUCCGGCUCCGACUCCAGCGCGUCGAAUACCGCGGCGCCCACCAGCAGAUCUUCUGCAUCCUCACACUUGAAGCAGGGACAGAGGAUGGACUCAGCCAUUACUGUGAUCUCAGGCAGACGACAACAUCCACAAUUUGAUGACACCUGGGUCCCAGAUUCAUCAAGAAAGUAGAAUUAAGUUCGAGUAUGAAGAAGCCAUGGGGAAGGAUUCUGGAAGUGAAGGAAACACGCGAUACCAGGUACAUACAAGCAUCUGCUUAGUGCUCCUGACCAUACAGGACUGGGACCACUCCUGCUCUGUAAAGGAAGAUGCAGAGGCUCCUCCAGGAGCAACUUCUUAGUUCUUACGGGGAGCCAGGAUUCAAUCCUCGAUCAGGCUGGCCCUAACUUUUCCUUCUCGGCCAUGCUCCCUCACUAGAAAAUGACUGAGGGCAGAGCCAGACAGCAACGGGGGAAUCAGAACAGAAGGCGCUGCUAAGGCUGGGCUGGCGUACAGCUAGAGCUCAGGAAAACGCUGUCACAUGGAUGAAUGAGGAGCUCUGAACGGAAGGUUCGGGGACUCGGCAUCUGGAUUUGCCAUGGAUGGACAGAUGCUCCACUUCAGAAAAGUCCACUCUCACCCAUACCCGUGGUGGCACACCAUGUCAACAAAGGUUCACUUCAUCCCCAGCUCUGGAUGCUAUUCUCCUUUCUAGACCACAGGUUCCAGAAAGAUGGGGACAAGCUGCCAGGGACAACAGGGGUUCCACAGGUAUUGGUGAGUAAAUGGACAGAUAGUUCUGGAAAUUGCUCUGUGAGUACACCUGGAAUGGGGUUCAGGGUCUUGCCUGAAAUAGAGUCACUCUCCUCUUGAGGUGGGGAACACCUGGCCUUUCUGGAAUAUUCUCCCUAUUCCCUCCUGACUUCCGAAAGAUUCUCAAAGCCUCAUUUCUUUUGAAACCUUCCUUCGCCUUGCCAGCAGCAUCACCCCAAUCAAGCAACAGAUUUUCGAUGCACGUUUUCGGUUCUUCCUCCCACCUUCAUCUGACAAGUCCAAUCAUUCCCAUCCCUUGAUUAUGUUUUGGUUGGAGGCUGCAGCCAGCUGCGGUUAUUCUCAACUCUGGGUGGCAGUGAAGAGGAGGGUCAUUAUGGGGGAGUCUUGCCUCAGUGGAGAGCAAGAGACAGGCACUGGGUUCCUCGACGGUUCGGGGGCUGGGGUAGAGGUGGAACUCUUACAGGUGUUGAGCGCUGGUUGGGUCAAAGGUCAGGGAACUCCCACUUGACUUUCAUUUUGGUCAGCAGGCCUCAAAGUAUGCUCAGAGACCAACGUCCCCUGAGGGGUUCUGUGGAAGAGAGAAGCCCAGGCUCAGUUAUGUUUGCGGAGCUCAGCUGUUCUCAGCCUUUGAUUGCAAGCUACAGAAGUCAACUCUCCUAAUUUAAGCUCAGAAAUGAUUUAUUCCGAAGACCUUAGAUAGUUCAAAGAACCUUCUGUAGGAACAGGAAGCCAAGGUCAGAAAGGAAGCAGCCAGAAGCAACACUCAAGGUCACAUAGUAGGACUGAUCCCAGAAAGGCUCCAUUGCCCUACAGACAGUUUUGCUUGGGCCACCAGCUCCGUCAGCACCGGUACGGCCUCUGUACCCACCACUACUGCCACCACUUCUGAAGAUAGGCUGCCAUGGCCGCCAUUUUUGUGAAACACUUUCUGCAGAGGCCCUCCUUUUUCUGCACUUGGUUCUUCUGGGGGAAGGCAACUUACUGGUGGAGUGAAGUCAUGGACCUGCCCCCUACAUUCAAGAGAAGCUGGGGCAAUGAAUUGAUCUUUCCAGCUCCCGUACCUGAAGGCAACCCCUGCCUCCGAACACAGGAGACAUCUUCAAGCAUGAGUGUGGUGGUUUGGAUGAGAAUGACCCACAUGGGCUCAUAGGCUUGAAGAGUUGGUCCCCAGUUGGUCAAACUGUUUGGGAGGGAUCAGGAGGUUUGACCUGGUUGGAAGAGGUGUGUCACUGGGGUCGCGUUUCAAAAGCCAUGUGCUAUACCAGUUGAGCUUUGUGUUUCCUGUGUGCGAACUGAGACUGAGCCGCUGCUCUAGCUAUUUGCUUUCUUGCUGCCGCAGCUCUGCCGUCUUGGACUCUAACCCUCUGGAACUGUA